AAUCAACGCUGGCGGCGUGCCUCAGACAUGCAAGUCGAACGCGAAAUCCCGAGCAAUCGGGAAAGUAGAGUGGCGCACGGGUGAGUAACACGUAGGUAAUCUACCUUCGGGUGGGGAAUAACCCAGGGAAACUUGGGCUAACACCGCAUGAUGCAGCGGCACCACAUGGUGACAGUUGUUAAAGCGGGGGAGUUUAGGACCUCGCGCCUGAAGAGGAGCCUGCGGCGGAUUAGCUAGUUGGUGGGGUAACGGCUCACCAAGGUCACGAUCCGUAGCCGGCCUGAGAGGGCGGUCGGCCACACUGACACUGACAUACGGGUCAGACUCCUACGGGAGGCAGCAGUCAGGAAUUUUGGGCAAUGGGCGAAAGCCUGACCCAGCAACGCCGCGUGAAGGAUGAAAUCCCUCGGGAU
rnacentral:rRNA from 1 species